AUCACAUAACAAGCUAACUUUUCUGACAGUGGGAAUCUCCCUGACUUUCUUGACUAUGGGAGAUGGAGAGGUCAGCUUGGCCUCUCUGAAUGCUGACUCACUGAUAAUGAGGCUCUGGAAAGGAGACAGAAGGUCUGAAUAUACAGGGGUGUGUUGUACCUAGGCAUAAGAUAAGCUCUCUCCUGAUUAUAAAGACUUGCAAUGGAACUUGCUUGCUUUCUAGCCAAUGGGUUGUUAGUGGAAAUGUACCGAAUGCGCGUGUUAGAAUAUAAAAGGCUUGCUUAGAAGAGUAAGUGCAGAUAUACAAGAUGACCAGGAUGCACAAGAUGAUGGGAAUACACAAGAUGAUGCAGAUACACAUCAUGAUCAUCACAGCAAUAAAGAAAUCUUCCUGGCAUGAGAACCCUGCAUCAUGAUGCUAACUCAUGACAACCAUAAAUUUCUUGAGUUGGUUCUAGAUUUUGGCUUUCUCCAGGAACAGCAUGCAGACUUGCAGCAAAUCCUGUGCAGGUAUUCAAGGCUGACUCUGCUCCUGUGCCUUCUGUGAGAAAACUAUCCCUUUGUCAGAAGAUGCUUCAUCUCAUCAUCAGUAGUUUAAGCAUGUGACACAUGCAAGCAGACAUUUUUUUUGCCCCCAGCAUUUUCUCGUCUUUUGAUGUGACUGAAGAAAGAACCUUUCCUGGAUUGCCAUUGGUCUUCUUGUCAAAAGUCUCCCAGAUCAGACCUUUGAGAUGCUCAAAAUACAUCACCACCUCAUUCGUAGCUCCCUGCUGGGCUUCAGAUUGGAACAAUUACUUUGCCUUGAGUCGUUGCCAAUUAUUUUGCUGCUGUAUGAUUAAAUGGACUGUAAUUGAAUAGCCGAUCACCAGGAUUUAAUGAACCUCCACUGUUAAAUCUAGCCAAGUUAAAGAUUUUAUUUUUUUUUCCUUCUGUCACCUCCCAGGAUACUCAAGCUGAAUCCAGAGGCAAAAGGUCGCAGAGGAGACAAGCAAAAACAACAAUGAGAACAGGAUUUGCAGUGUGAUAUAAAAUAGCAUCAAGAAUCCGUAACGUUAAACAAUUUAUAAGCAGAGUGACUUGCAGGUUGUUUUUGCUUGGCAAAGACAUAUGCACACAUUGAUAUGAGGACAAUGAACGUGUGUGUAAGAACCAUGUGUUUUUUCCCAAUCAAGAAAAUGUUAUUUAGUAUAUAAUACAGUUGGAUUGGAGCAUACUUAUACAGUUAAAUAUACGAUUAUAUACUUACAAAAAUGGAGUCUUCAUUUAUGACUAGGAUCCUCAUAGUAAUAAGAAUAGCAUUUCUUUCCCUUAGUCCAUCUCCUAGAAUUUAGAUAUUUGUUAUCUGUUUGUAAGUUAAAAACAAAACAAAAUGCCUCAGUAAGACAGAGUAUUUGUUUUGUUUUGAAUGUGUCUAUAACAGGUUUUAUUUAAUGUACAUGCAGCUCAGCUGUUGGAACUGUUAGAAAAUUUGUGAUUUUUGUAAAAGUUUUGGCCUGAAACAUUGUGGGUUAACGAUCCUGCAGUCUGAACCACAACAGCUGAACACAUCAGGAACAUAUGUUAAUGGCCCAGUGCUGUGUUUAGAAAAGAAAUCGUGAUUCCUCUACAGUACAUCCCGCUAAGCAAAGCUUUCAGCAAAUGUUUGUGCAUGCUCAGCAUCAGCACUGAUGUGAUAGUCUUUUACAGUUUUUGGGUAGAACUGUUAAAUCAAUCACAUACAUGCCAAGCAGCCUCCUCUGUGCUCUUUGAUUCUGCCAACAGCCAUACAGUGAUUCAUCGCACUGAAGACCUCUUUAGUUGAAGACUGAGUCAGUGGAAGCAUUCUGUGCUUCAGUGAAGAAAAAGAUGCUAUAUUUCA
ensembl:lncRNA